UGACAAAAACUCAAAGAAAUGCAUAACCACAAGGGCACCAUAACCUAUGAAUGACAUGCUGAGACUGGAAACCCAAAAUGAUGGUAACAAAGUGGUGGUAAUGCCUUACAUUUUUGUCACAUUCUCACCCAGAACAAUUUCUCCACCUGGAGUAGUGAAGUUGGAGCACAGUAUGAGGUGUUUUUAGCCACAAGAGGGCAAAAGUCUUGGACAUGAAAUUUUUGAAAUGGGUACAAGCUGGAACCUGCACCUGUGCCGCCUAUAACCUAAGACUAAGUGAAAACUUACACCGAAGCCAAUGACAACAUGAAUGAGAGCUUACCAUAACUGGCACAUAUCUUCACAUAAGCAUCAUAUAAAGAGCAGCAGAUGUUAGUGACAGAAGCUGCGUGCAAAAUAUGCAGAAGAAUAUCCUCAUUACUUCUAUUGCUUACAAGAUUUCAUCCAAGAUACUACAUUACAUUUAAUGUUCAUGUCUCCUGAUUCCUCUUGAUUUUCCUUGCUUUUAAUGACCUUGACAAGUUUUGAGGCAUACUGGUCUGGUAUACUGUAGGAUGCCCUCUGUUGGAAUUUGUAAAAUUUCAAUAUAAUUAGAAUAAAUUUCACAAAUCUAUUGAUUAUGUGAAAGUUGUCAGAAUCAAA